rnacentral:rRNA from 1 species
UACGGAGGAUGCGAGCGUUAUCCGGAUUUAUUGGGUUUAAAGGGUGCGUAGGCUGUAAGGUAAGUCAGCGGUGAAAUGCCCCCGCUCAACGGGGUGAAGUGCCAUUGAUACUGCCUUGCUGGAAUGCGGAUGCCGUGGGAGGAAUGUGUGGUGUAGCGGUGAAAUGCAUAGAUAUCACACAGAACACCGAUUGCGAAGGCAUCUCACGAAUCCGCUAUUGACGCUGAAGCACGAGAGCGUGGGUAGCGAACAGG